rnacentral:lncRNA from 1 species
UGUUCUUUAGUGUAUGUAGGAUAAAAUUUUUGGUACUAGGAGCACAAGACCAUCAGGAGGCAGAUAAGGAAGGAGAAUUGGUUCACCAAUACCCUUAUGUGAAAAGUGACAAACCCUAACCUGGCACAUCAAUGAAAUUCAAAAUUAGGUUAUGGGUUGUCAAGACUAUCAAAGCAAACAGAGCUCUUACAAUUGGUGACAAAGGAAAUUUCCGAGAUGUUGUUGGUGUCAUGAAGGAAGGAGGAACACCAACAUAAAAUUUCAACACCUACUGAUGGGUGUUUGGGCUUUACCGGGUCAAGCUAAUGACGUUAAAAGAGCGCUUGCUGGGAGGCAACCCAGUUUCUGAAUUUUUUAUCUUCAAUUUCGUUUUGAUUUUAUUUUAUUUUUAUUUUAUUUUCUUUUAUUUGAUUUUUUUUAUUUUAUUUGAUUUUAUUUGAUUUGGUUUUAUUUUAUUUUAUUUUAUUUUAUUUAUUUUUUGGGUUAUGCGCUGCUUCUGAUGGCAAUAAUGAUUAGCAUCUACUGAUGGAUGCUAUAUGGUUAAUCAUUUACUGAUGGAUGUCACUAACGGUGUUUACUGAUGAAUGCUACUAGGAUAGCAUCUACUAAGGGAUGCUAGAAGAUUUAGGUAUCUACUGAAGGAUACCAGGAAGGUACACCUACUAAUGGGUGUUGGAAAGGUAUGCACUUACUGACAAGUGCUAGAAAGGUUUGGGUCAGGCUCGUGACGUUAAACAAGCGCUACCUGGGAGGCAACCCACUUUUCUAAACUUAUCUUUUUAAAUUAUGUUAUAUUUGCUUCUGUUUUUAGAAUAGGUAUUGAUGUACUUGGUUGGACACUAUAUCUGAUGCAGUGGUUUGAUAUUAAUUUUGCAUGAUGGGUAUUGCUUGAUGAUGCUUUGAUAUUGAUGAAGUUGAGAUUGCACAAUAUGCUGAUAUACAGGUGGUGGUUCACAAGNUGUGUGAANAGAUGCAUUGUGAUUUUGUGAUUGUGAUUAUGAGGCUAAGCAGGGUAUUUGAUUGAAUGAUUGGAAUAAGCUUAUGAGUGAGGUUUGAGCUCCAGAGUUCUUAUUGAUAUAUUUUCUAUCUACUGGAAGCAUGAAUGAUUUUGCCUAAGUUUCUAUGACUAAUUGAAUUACGUGUAUGUGUCACAUGAUUAAGGCCAUUUUUGAU